rnacentral:rRNA from 1 species
GAUGAACGCUGGCGGUGUGCUUAACACAUGCGAGUCGAACGGGAAAUAUUUCAUUGAGACUUCGGUGGAUUUGAUUUAUUUCUAGUGGCGGACGGGUGAGUAACGCGUGGGUAACCUGCCUUAUACAGGGGGAUAACAGUCAGAAAUGGCUGCUAAUACCGCAUAAGCGCACAGAGCUGCAUGGCUCAGUGUGAAAAACUCCGGUGGUAUAAGAUGGACCCGCGUUGGAUUAGCUAGUUGGUGGGGUAACGGCCCACCAAGGCGACGAUCCAUAGCCGGCCUGAGAGGGUGAACGGCCACAUUGGGACUGAGACACGGCCCAGACUCCUACGGGAGGCAGCAGUGGGGAAUAUUGCACAAUGGGGGAAACCCUGAUGCAGCGACGCCGCGUGAAGGAAGAAGUAUCUCGGUAUGUAAACUUCUAUCAGCAGGGAAGAUAGUGACGGUACCUGACUAAGAAGCCCCGGCUAACUACGUG